rnacentral:rRNA from 1 species
CCCUUAGAUGUUCUGGGCCGCACGCGCGCUACACUGAUGCAUUCAACGAGUCUAAAACCUGCUCUGAUAGGGGUGGGUAAUCUUUUGAAUGUGCAUCGUGAUUGGGAUAGAUGAUUGCAAUUUUUCAUCUUCAACGAGGAAUGCCUAGUAAACGCAAGUCAUCAGCUUGCAUUGAUUACGUCCCUGCCCUUUGUACACACCGCCCGUCGCUCCUACCGAUUGAAUGUGUUGGUGAGGAGCUCGGAUUGGCAGCAGUUGGUGGUUCGCCACCGGCUAUUGCUGAGAAGUCCUCCAAACCGCCCCAUUUAGAGGAAGGAGAAGUCGUAACA